GCACAAUUAUAUGCUGCAAAUUAAAUGAGCUGCACAAUAGAGGAUGGUAUUAUCACAAAGACAAUCGUUUCUGGUUUAUAAGAGUUCCCAACAUGGAGCCGCUUGUUAGAACGAACACAUACGAGAGAGGAUCUUAUCACUGUUUCGAUCCAAACACAUUUGAAACUGUUCGCAAGGAUAACUUUGUUCUACAUUAUGAAAUGUUGGAAAAGAGACCGCCUCUACCACA